CUUCCUGGAAGACUCUGAAAGGUGACUCUACGGUGAAGGGCAGGGGUGGAGCUUCCGGUGGGACGAGACCAACUGCUCUUUGGUGGCAGUGCACACUGACUGGAUCAUCCUGUCAGACACAAAAGCAGCCAAAGUGCCAGGCCAAGAAAGAUGAACAGCUCUGAGGCAGCAGAUGACAGCUCACCAUCCCAGGACAGCCCACCAUCCCAGGACACCUGUCUACCUUGAAAGCCCCCUUCCCUACCCCACAAGAGUCAACCAAUGCCCACCAAGUCAGCUGGAAGCAGUUUUUCUAGGAGAAAUGAUGCCCCUAUUCCUGUUCACUCACUUUUUUUAUAGUAAGCAAAAAGUCUGGAAUGUUAGAAUUCUGUCCUCACUCUAGCUGCAUGAUCGCACAUGCACAGUUCAGGAGUUAAGCAAAGAGUCUUGUGUCUUACAUCAUCAGUGUGUGCUGGCAACUACAUGAGCAUGGCGUGGUCAUGCAAUCAGCACAUGUGUGGUGUAGCUCCGUAAGCCUGCCUGUGCAUGCUCACCAGGAACCCUUAAAAAGCCAGACACAGACGCCACCCUCUCUCUCUGUUCUGCUCCCUCUCGCCCAACCCCACCAUCUUUCUCUCUGUUCUGUUAUGUCUCCCCAGGCCUGGUUCUUUUCCCCUUCUCUCCUCCUAAUAAAGCUCUCAGCUACCAGGUA